CUUUCAAAUUUCCUUGGAGGCUGGAAAGGUUAAACCAGAAGUGCAAUCAAUAGGAAUUUGAGAAUGUUGUGUGUUUAUGUCUAUAAGGGUUUUUGUAAGGAAAGUUGAUUGCAAGUAAACUUUUUCCAAAAUAUGCUAUGCAUGUUUUUAAUGAAGAAUGACAUGUAUUUGCACAAAAAUUCUCAGGCACAGUCUAAUAUUAUAAACUGAAGUAAAACCCAGGUGCUUGCUUUGAGAUUGAAUUAGGAAGAAACAGACCUGUUUUUUGAGUAUUGCUGACCAAGGUCUUUAUCUCGGCCAUGAAGUUCAGAAAGAAAUGCCAUCACACAAAAGGCAUAAUAGAGAGAAGCUAGAAGGGGGCUAGUUAUUUUUGAAAAGGGGAGGCAUGUUACUUGAUCUUUUCAGUGUUUCAUUAGCAGAUUUUUUGCCCCUUUGUUCUGACUUAAAGUGCAAGGCCUUUUCUGAAGUAUUCUUGAUGGGAGUUUUGCU
rnacentral:lncRNA from 1 species